CGGGGCGUGGCGCAGCCCGGUAGCGCACCUGCUUUGGGAGCAGGGAGUCGGAGGUUCAAAUCCUCUCGCCCCGACCA
rnacentral:tRNA from 3 species